ensembl:lncRNA
CUUAGCCAAAGCAACACCAUCUUCAUCAUUAGAGGCUUCCAGUUUCACGUUCUUUUUCCUGUGUGAAUGAGCCUUUCCGCCACAGUCCUGAAGUGCUCUUCCAGCAGUGUUGCCUUCUCAGGAGUAGUGACGGCUGUGCGGCACAGGAAGUGAGUGGAAUUGACGCACGUGAUGUGGAAGUCACAAAAUGCUGAGCCAGCAGCAAACUGGGAGCCACUGACUUGACUUUCAGAGACCUGUUUUAUGAAAUCAUGAGGUGGAACCAUGAAGGCUAAUCAAACUCUUGCUGAGCUCUCUGGUUGGGAUUGAUAUUGAUUCCAGUCAGAAGUUGGCUGCUGCUGCUGCUGCUGCUAAGUCACUUCAGUCGUGUCCAACUCUGUGCGACCCCAUAGACGGCAGCCCACCAGACAAGAACACUGAAGUGGGUUGCCAUUUCCUUCUCCAAUGCAUGAAAGUGAAAAGUGAAAGUGAAGUCGCUCAGUCAUGUCCUUUUCUUCACCCCAUGGACUGAAGCCUACCUCUUAUUAAAAGAAUCUAUUGGAACCCAUUUCCAUCUCGUAAGAAAAAUCAACAGAGAAAGCACUCAUAGGAACCAGUGUGAAGAACAAGUGUUGGGGGCUGUGGAAAGGGCAUCAGUGGAUCCUGAGCAUGAAGUAGGCUUUGAAGGUGGGGACAGUAGAGAAGAGGCAUGCCUUUGGCAUGUAGACAAUUUGGGCCUGACCCUAAGGGCACUGGAAGCCCGCUGAUGUGUUUAAAGCAGAAAAAUGAAAUAAGCCAUAUUGUAUUUGAGAAUAAACUUGACAGAACAAAACUGAAAACA